rnacentral:snRNA from 8 species
UCCAUCUGAGGCGUGAUUAUUGCUGGUUGAAAACUUAACCCAAUACCACGCUUGGGGCGACUUGAAAUAUAGUCUUCCCUGGCAAUUUUUGAUAGUCUUAAGUGAGA